CUGCUGCCUCCCGUAGGAGUCUGGGCCGUAUCUCAGUCCCAAUGUGGCCGGCCAACCUCUCAGUCCGGCUACUGAUCGUCGCCUUGGUAGGCCGUUACCCUACCAACUAGCUAAUCAGACGCGAGGCCAUCUCUCAGCGAUAAAUCUUUGAUAUAUCUGCCAUGCGACAAACAUAUGUUAUGCGGUAUUAGCAGUCGUUUCCAACUGUUGUCCCCCUNUGAAACGGCAGGUUCCUCACGCCG
rnacentral:rRNA from 1 species